AUUGGACGCUGGCGGCAGGCCUAACACAUGCAAGUCGAGCGGAUGAAGGGAGCUUGCUCCUGGAUUCAGCGGCGGACGGGUGAGUAAUGCCUAGGAAUCUGCCUGGUAGUGGGGGAUAACGUCCGGAAACGGGCGCUGAUACCGCAUACGUCCUGAGGGAGAAAGUGGGGGAUCUUCGGACCUCACGCUAUCAGAUGAGCCUAGGUCGGAUUAGCUAGUUGGUGGGGUAAAGGCCUACCAAGGCGACGAUCCGUAACUGGUCUGAGAGGAUGAUCAGUCACACUGGAACUGAGACACGGUCCAGACUCCUACGGGAGGCAGCAGUGGGGAAUAUUGGACAAUGGGCGAAAGCCUGAUCCAGCCAUGCCGCGUGUGUGAAGAAGGUCUUCGGAUUGUAAAGCACUUUAAGUUGGGAGGAAGGGCAGUAAGUUAAUACCUUGCUGUUUUGACGUUACCAACAGAAUAAGCACCGGCUAACUUCGUG
rnacentral:rRNA from 1 species